rnacentral:rRNA from 1 species
UACGGAGGGGCGAGCGUUUAUUCGGAAUUAUUGGGCGUAAAGGGCGCGUAGGCGGCCUGGUAAGUCAAAGGUGAAAUCCCUCGGCUCAACUGAGGAACUGCCUUUGAAACUGCCUGGCUUGAGGCCGGGAGGGGGUGGCGGAAUUCCAGUGUAGCGGUGAAAUGCGUAGAUAUCAGGAGGAACACCGGUGGCGAAGGCGGCCCUCUGGACGGUGACUGACGCUGAGAAGCGAAAGCGUGGGAGCGAACAGG